rnacentral:rRNA from 1 species
CACGCAGGCGGUUUUGUCAGUCAGAUGUGAAAGCCCGGGGCUCAACCCCGGAAGUGCAUUUGAAACAGCAAAACUUGAGUACGGGAGAGGAAAGCGGAAUUCCUGGUGUAGAGGUGAAAUUCGUAGAUAUCAGGAGGAACACCGGUGGCGAAGGCGGCUUUCUGGACCGAUACUGACGCUGAGGUGCGAAGGCGUGGGGAGCGAACA